UACGAAGGUGGCAAGCGUUACUCGGAAUUACUAGGCGUAAAGCGCAGGUAGGUGGUUUGGUAAGUCUACUGUGGAAGCUCCUGGCUUAACUGGGAGAGGUCAGUAGAAACUGCCGGACUUGAGUAUGGGAGAGGGUACUGGAAUUCCCGGUGUAGCGGUGAAAUGCGCAGAGAUCGGGAGGAACACCAAUGGCGAAAGCAGGUACCUGGACCAUUGCUGACACUAAGCUGAGAAAGCUAGGGGAGCAAACAGG
rnacentral:rRNA from 1 species